UUUUUUUCCUGUUCUGGCCCGUCCAUGGAUCCUAGACUUCUUUGCUGUGUGAUCUUCUGUCUUCUUGCAGUCACUUUUGUGGAUACUAUGGUUAAGCAGAACCCAAGAUACAAGGUUGCUAGAGUUGGAAAACCAGUGAAUUUGAUCUGUUCUCAGACUAUGAAUCAUGAUACCAUGCUCUGGUACCAAAAGAAACCAAACCAAGCACCAAAGCUGCUGCUUUACUACUAUGAUGAGAAUUUGAACAGGGAGGCUGACACUUCUGAGAACCUCCAAUCCAGCCGGCCUAACAAUUCUUUCUGCUCUCUCGACAUUGGCUCUGCAAGCCUAGAGGAUUCUGCCAUGUACCUCUGUGCUACCAGUAGAGACACAGGGCUACAAUAUCACCUACCCUCUGUUCAUAAACUUUUUCUUUUCACAGACCCCAGGAUUUUCUCUAGAAUCACCCCUCUUUUCUUGAAACUGUAG